rnacentral:rRNA from 1 species
UACGUAGGGCGCAAGCGUUAUCCGGAAUUAUUGGCGUAAAGAGCUCGUAGGCGGUUUGUCGCGUCUGCCGUGAAAGUCCGGGGCUCAACUCCGGAUCUGCGGUGGGUACGGGCAGACUAGAGUGAUGUAGGGGGAGACUGGAAUUCCUGGUGUAGCGGUGAAAUGCGCAGAUAUCAGGAGGAACACCGAUGGCGAAGGCAGGUCUCUGGGCAUUAACUGACGCUGAGGAGCGAAAGCAUGGGGAGCGAACAGG